UUGUGCUCUGCGUUGUCUGCUGAACGCAAGCGGCUUUAUGUGGUUUUUAAGUGGUGUUUUAGCGUAAUUAUGUGCAGUAAUUACUGUUAACAUGGUGCAUCAUUGUACUUUGAUUAAGAAUUAUGGUUAAGUGGAAGGAUUUUAUAAAUGCAGGUGAGUCUUUUUUGUAGAACUCUAGCCACGAGGAUUUUUGGAUGCGGGUGUGUGUGUGUGUGUGUUUCAAAAGGGUACGGCCGAUUUCAUUACAGGAAAAAAAAUGGUGCAAUAACGAAGCAGCCUGGUAAAGAUUGAAAAGAGAAAAUUGGCUUUGUUUGAGAGUAGUGCGUUUUAGCUAUGGCGCAGAAAACAGUGCAGAAACAAAAUGGCGUCGUUGGAGUGAAACCGUUUGGGAUGCGUGCGGGUAUGUUUGGUAUCCUGCAGAUCUGAGGCUAAGCCGUUGACUGUGUGCCCUGAAAUUUCUUUUGCUGUGGAUCGUGACCUCGUGCAUUGCGAAAUUUAAAGAUGUGUUUGAGCUGCUUCUAUCCCAUCAAUAUGCAUGCAAGGAUGUCGCGAGAAGCAUUUACGAGAAAUGAGACCAGUAUUGUCUGCGGUGAAUGUUUAUGGUGUUGUGUAGACCACAAUGGUCUUUGAAUUUCAUUCGAACUAAUAUUGAUUCUAAAUUCUAGCUCUGCUCGAUACCAAAGAAAGCUUCCACAUUUUUAUUGAGCAAAAAUCGACGAAGUGAAUACCUGUACACUGUGGACGAAGUACUUACAGCAAAGAUUUAAUGAAGGCUUCAAAAACAAAGUAAGUCCUAAAAUAAGAAUAUUUAUGCUUUUAGUGCUAGUUCGUUGGUCUGCUGGUCGGCUGGUUGUUGGAAGGAAUAUCUCGGUGCCUAAACCUAAAAGCAGAGCGGCCGGUAGGACGAGGGUUAGCCUGGUGCUUUUAUCCGCUCUUGAUUAGAACAAGUUGCAGCUUUUAACUCAGGGAAAUUUGGUAAGUACCCCUUUUCAGACUUGCUUUCUGCAUUUUUCUGCAUAUUCCUAACUACAUGUUUCGUUUUUCUGCGCAUCUUUUACUUGAUGUUCUCUAUGACGUUUCUGUCUUACUUUCAUUUUAUUUAUACUUGUUUCAUGGUUUGAGUGAUCUGCCGGUUGAUGCCUGUGCCUGUGCCCCAGGGCCUACUCGGUGUUUGAUUGUUGUGCGGUAGGUCACUCUGGUCCAUUUGGAUUGGCUGCUGUUAGAAGUUGUUCUUGAUUUUAAUCACAAAAGUGACUAUGGCUUUCAGGUAUUUUGUGUCCCUCUUCUUGAAACUGCUUUCGUAAUUGUCUAAUCUAAUAUCACAGCUUUUUCGUCCUAUUCUUUGUUUAUCACAGAAUAAUUUGCUAUGUCUCGCUGUUUCGGGGUACCCGGCA